GAUGAAGAACGCAGCGAAAUGCGAUAAGUAAUGUGAAUUGCAGAAUUCAGUGAAUCAUCGAAUCUUUGAACGCACAUUGCGCCCGUCAGUAUUCUGGCGGGCAUGCCUGUUCGAGCGUCAUUACGCCCCUCAAGUCCCCUGUGGACUUGGUGUUGGGGAUCGGCGAGGCUGGUUUUCCAGCACAGCCGUCCCUUAAAUUAAUUGGCGGUCUCGCCGUGGCCCUCCUCUGCGCAGUAGUAAAACACUCGCAACAGGAGCCCGGCGCGGUCCACUGCCGUAAAACCCCCCAACUUUUUAUAGUUGACCUCGAAUCAGGUAGGACUACCCGCUGAACUUAAGCAUAUCAAUAAGCGGAGGG
rnacentral:misc_RNA from 1 species